GGAUCUGAGGGCGAUUUAGCUGUGACAUCUGCCACCCCAUUGAUCGCCAGGGUUGAUUCGGCUGAUGUGGCUGCCUUGGCGCGUGUCCCCUUCCUCCCUCACCGCUCCAUGUGCGUCCCUCCUGAAGCUGAACGCUCGCUCGGGCAAAGAGGAUGACCUUCCCCAAAUAGAGGAGGACCUAUCUUCCAUCAAAGGUAUAUAAAUAGCUGCGCUCCCCUGCUAGAACCUCCAAACAAGCUCAAGCCCCCUUGGACCAAUCAAGGAAAUGAUCACACCCUGUUCACCCAAUCAAGAGGAGUAAUCACAUGUCCUGGGCCCCCUGUUCAUUCUU
ensembl:misc_RNA 7SK 7SK RNA